GCUGGUGCUGCUGCUGCCCGGGAGCCCGGCCCGCGGCCCGGCGCGCAGGAGGAGGCAGGAGCUGGUGCUGGGGCAGCUCUGCUUGCUCGGCUCGCUCCUGCUGCUGCUCUCCUCGCUCUCCUGCUGGGCUGGCAGCGCCGGGUCCUGGGUUCUCCUGAGCUGCCAUGACCAGUUGUGGGUAUUACCUGAACUGAGCCACUUAUACUCAUUUCACUUGUGAUGAUGACCAAGACGAAACUCAGGUUUCCAGAAGAACUAGGCAUUUAGUCUCUGCCACUUACUCCUUUAAACUCCAUAGUUAGCGAAUGAAUGGUUAUGAUGUCCUGAGUUAUACCAUGGAAACUAAUGACAAGUGGCAUGGGAGAAAAGUACUUCAAGCAAUUGAGGAGAAUGCCACUGAAAUUCCAGAGGAUGACGAGCAUCAGUACAUCAAGAACUGCACUGAACCAGCAAAAGGGAUUUCUUUCCACAUGGAGCGUAAAGUAAGGAAAAUACUGAGUUUAGCACGAGAGGUUACCCAGUUGCCUCUUGAUGUGAGAUUUGGGACAGAUCAAGCAUUGGACAGCACUGGAUCAAGUUCUGAUCUGUUUGAUUCCAUACUCUGCAACAGCCCAGAAGAUCACAUCCAGAAAGGAGCAGUCACCUUGUCUCAUCACAGCUAACCAAUUAAAAUACAUCCGUUUUUUCCCAGAUAUGGUCUUGGUCUUUUAUUAAA
rnacentral:lncRNA from 1 species